rnacentral:rRNA from 1 species
GGGAGAGGGGUAGAGGAGCAAGCAUCAGUCCCACGAUGGCGUGGGCCGCAAGCCUGAUUCAAUGUGAAGGACCACCAGUCGGGACGUCGCGAAGCUAAGCUAAUCCCUUAAAGCUUCUCGCAGUUCGGAUUGCCGGCUGCCACCCGCCUGCAUGAAGCCGGAACAGCUAGUCAUCGCGGCUCAGCACUGCGCGGUGAGUACUUGUGCGGGCCAUGUACAGUACGCCAGUCGCUCCACGAGAAUUUGUAGCACCCGAAGUAGGUGAGGUAGUCUAUUUGGAAACAGCCUCCUAAGGUGGGAUAGAUUAUUGGGGUGAAGUCGUAACAAGGUAGCGG